rnacentral:lncRNA from 14 species
CAGCACAGAUUUAGACUGGACCUAAGGAAGAAAUUCUUUACUGUGAGGGUGGUGAGGUACUGGAAUGGGUUGCCCAGGGAGGUUGUGAAUGCUCCAUCCCUGGCAGUGUUCAAGGCCAGGUUGGAUGAAGCCUUGGGUGAUAUGGUUUAGUGUGAGGUGUCCCUGCCCAUGGCAGGGGGUUGGAACUAUAUGAUCUUAAGGUCCUUUCCAAUCCUAACUAUUCUAUGAUUCUGUUAUCAGGAGCAUCUGCUGAAGAGACACCCUCCCUUUGAAUAUUCCAGUGCUAUCAGCCAAAGUUUCAAGGUCCAUAGAACUUCUACUGCCUGACUGAUCUGAAUGGUAGCUCAACAAGGACCCAUUCAGCAGCUGACGGUGACAGCCACCAGGACAUUAUUUGGUAUCUCAGUGCUCAUUUGCUACAGACUGCUCUUCUUGCGAAAGUGUGUUAAAUCCACAGAUGACGAGUCUUCUGUCUCUUAG